rnacentral:rRNA from 1 species
GAUGAACGCUAGCUACAGGCUUAACACAUGCAAGUCGAGGGGAAACGAUAUUGGAAGCUUGCUUCUGAUAGGCGUCGACCGGCGCACGGGUGAGUAACGCGUAUCCAACCUGCCCAUCACUUGGGGAUAACCUUGUGAAAGUAAGACUAAUACCCAAUGACGUCUCUAGAAGACAUCUGAAAGAGAUUAAAGAUUUAUCGGUGAUGGAUGGGGAUGCGUCUGAUUAGCUUGUUGGCGGGGUAACGGCCCACCAAGGCGACGAUCAGUAGGGGUUCUGAGAGGAAGGUCCCCCACAUUGGAACUGAGACACGGUCCAAACUCCUACGGGAGGCAGCAGUGAGGAAUAUUGGUCAAUGGACGAGAGUCUGAACCAGCCAAGUAGCGUGCAGGAUGACGGCCCUAUGGGUUGUAAACUGCUUUUAUAAGGGAAUAAAGUGGGAGUCGUGACUCUUUUUGCAUGUACCUAUGAAUAAGGACCGGCUAAUUCCGUGCCAGCAG